GGCGGGCACCUGUAGUCCCAGCUACAGGAGGGAGGCUGAAGCAAGAGGUUCGCUUGAACCUGGAAGGUGGAGAUUGCAGUGAGCUGAGAUCACACCACUGCACUCUAGCCUGGGCGACAGAACGAGACUCCAUCUCAAUGAAAAUAAAUAAAUAAAUAAAUAAAUAAAUAAAUAUAUAAAUAAAUAAAAAUUAUGAAGAAAGAAACACAGAGAAGAGGAGAGGCCAGAGGAGGAAUUUCUCUGCUGUAAAUGGAAGUAAAAAGCAGCAAUUUUACAUUAUGGUUUAGGCAUCCAGAUCUUCAGUAGGAAAAAGACAGGCAUUCCAACCACAAGACGCAGAGAAGAGCAGGACAGAGCCUCAAGAGGCAGAGAAGAGCAGGGCAAAGCCUCUGAAGCAGGAGAGGAAGAGACCAACUUAGGAGGACACCUCUGUAGGAAUGUCUGGACCAGCAGUACAGAUGGGGUGGAGGCAGGAGGUGAAGCUGAGAAAAUAAGCAAGGACCUGUUUCUGCUGCCCCAGUUUUGGGGGCACUGUUUGAAUGUGUCCAUCUAUUAUGUAUCAAAAAUAUAAUAAAAAUAAGUAAAUAAUUUAAAAAUAGGGUUGGGGGGAAUUUUUUUAAAGGGGUAGUCAAAGAGACCAUUCUGAUAGGAGGUAUUUGAAGAGGCAUCUGAUUAUGAAGUGUUUUGUAUGCUAUGCUGAGGAUUUUGAGCUUCAUCUUUAACAUGGAAAAUUUAGGAAAGAUUUUAAUGGUGCAAUGAAGCAAGGAGAUAAUGCAUUUUUUUUCUUAAGGUUACUUUUGGUGACAAUAGUUAGAAUUGAACAGGCUCAAAAAUUCCAGGGCUGGGCAAGUUGGCUCGCGCCUGUAAUCCUAGCACUUGGGAAGGCUGAGGUGGAAGGAUGGCUUGAGGCCAGGAGUUCGAAAGCAACCUGGUCAACAGAGUAAGACUCAAUCUCUACAAAGAAGAAAUGAAAUAAUUCUCCGGGCAUUGUGGUGUACACUUUCAUCCCAGCUAUUUGGGAGGCUGAGGUGGAGAAUCACUUGAACCCAAGAGUUGGAGGCUUUAGUGAGCUGUGAUCACACCACUGCACUCUAGCCCUGGCAACAGAGCAAGACCUUGCCUCAAAAAGCAAACAAAUAAAAAAGAACAAUAGGUUUGGAAGAUAUUGAAAAAGUCCUGAGUAGAAACUAAAUUGGGGUAGGAAAUGAAGAAAUAUUUUUAAGAGGCGUAAUCAUCCAAAAUCAUCCAAAUUUUGUUUAGAAAGACAUUGCUGACUGAUUUGAUUCAUUCAUCCAUGAUUCAUUCAUCUAUUUCUUUUUUUUUUCAUUCAUUCAUUUAUUCCACAAAUAUUUUGACUGCCAUGUAGUAGGCAUGCAUGUGUUGGGCAGUGAACCAAACAGAUGCUCAGCUCUCAUUUGGUUUAUAGCCUAGAAGGGGAAAAGUAUAAGAAGUAAAUAUAGUUGUGGAAUUACAGAUUAAUAGGUACAAUAUAUAGUUAGAAGAAAUAAGAUCUAGCAUUUGAUAGAUCAAUAGGGUGAUUAUAGUUAACAUUCUUCUAUUGUAUAUUUCAAAAAGUUAGAAAGUAAUUUGAAUGUCCACAGCAUAAAGAAAAGGUAAAACACUUAAGGCAAUGGAUAUCCCAAUUACUCCGAUUCAAUCUUUAUGCACAAUAUGAAUGUAUCAAAUUAUUAUAUGUACCCCCAAAAUAUAUGCACCUAUUAUGUAUUGUUAACAAAUAAUAAAAAUAAAUAAAAUUGUUAACAUAGGGUUGACAGGACUAUUUUUUUAAUGGGGUCGUUCGAAAGACUGUUCUGAUAAGGAAAUACCUGAGUAGGCACCUGAAAGAAGUGAAGGAAUGAGCCCUGUAAUAUAUUCAGGACACAGGUUUUCUGGACAGAAUCAAUGGUAUAAUCAUAGUCCCUAAAGCAGUGCAUGCUGGGAAGGUGUUUUUGUGAGAGGAGGAGCAGUCUGGAGGGUACUGCAUUUUCAGAGAUUGUCCUUCGCCUUCAGUGUCUCUUUUCUUUGUCCCCAGUCAUAAAACCUCCCUUGCUCUCUCUCAGAGUCUAGAAUGUCCUACUAGCUGUUGGAACCUGCUGGAGUUCUAAAGGCAUGCGAUGUCCUGAAUGUGCUUGACCAAUGGACACAGCAGGAUGUGCUCCUGAGGUGCUCCCCAUGCCAGGAUGUGCCUGUGGUUUCCUCAAGAGCUACUUGGAUACACCGCAUACCCUUGGAUCCAGCACUGCUAGAGACUCUGCAGAAACUCUGCAACUUUAACUGGAAACCUCUCUACUGUUGUUGUUCCCUUGGAAAAUGACUAUUUGCCACUUCAGCUGCCAAAUAUCUCCUCCCAAUAUGUUCUGUGAGCAUUCAGUCUGCUCAAAGUCUUGUGUAAUGGUGGAUAUAUGAUGACAUUUGUUUCAAGCUAGGCUCACAUAUCCAUCUAUCUCAGGGGCUACAUGAUUUACUUGCCAUUUUUUAAACUUUUACUUGUAAUUAACAAAUAAUAAUUGUAUAUAUUUAUGGGAUACAAUGUGAUGUUUUCAUAUAUGUAUACAUUGUGGAAUGAUUAUAUCAAGCUAAUUAAAUUAGGCAUCAUCUCAUAUACUUUUCUAUACUGAAAACAUUUAAGGCCUAUUCUUUCAGCAAUUUUGAGAUAUAAAAGACAUUAUUGUUAAUUAUGGUCACCACACUGUGCAAUAGCAUUGAAAACUUAUUUGUCAUGUCUAACUAAAACUUUGUACUCUUUGACCAACAUUCUCCCAUUCCCUGUACCCCACCCCUCUCCACCCCACCCUCUGGUAAACAUCACUCUACUCUCUACCUUUAUAAGUUCAACUUUUUGAAGAUUCUGCAUAUGAGAUUAUACAGUAUUUGUCUUUCUGUGACAGGCUUAUUUUACUCAGCACAAUGUCCUACAGGUUCAUCAUGUUGUUGCAAAUGACAGGAUUGCCUUCUUUUUUAAGGCUGAAUAGUAUUCCACUGUGUAUAUGUUUUCUAUAGCCAUUCAUCUGUUGAUGGACACUCAAGCCAAUUUCAUACUUGGCAAUUGUGAAUAAGGCUGCAGCGAACAUGGGAAUGCAGAUAUCUCUUCAACAUAUUGAUUUCCAAUCCUUUGGAUAUAUACCCAGUAUUAGGAUCACAUGGUAGGCUUAUUUUCAGUUUUUUGAAGCUCCUCCAUGCAGUUUUCCAUAGUGACUAUACUAAUUUACAUUCCCUCCAACAAUGUACAAGGAUUCCCUUUUCUCUACAUCAUUGCCAACCUUGUUAUCCCUUGUCUUUUUUUGCUAGUAACCAUUCUAACAAGUGUAAGGUGAUAGUUCAUUGUCAUUUUGAUUUGCAUUUCCUUGAUGACUAGUAACAUUUAAAAAAUAUCCUAUUGGCCAUUUGUAUGUCUUCUUUUGAGAAAUAUCUAUUUCAGUUUUUUGUCCAUUUUCAAACUGGGUUACUUGUUUUCUUGCUAUUCAGUUACGUAUGGGAAAAAAUCAUAUGAACUAAAGAGAGUUAUUCUUGACUGCCUUGUUAUAUCUUGUUUACAUAUCAUAAGCAUUAAUUUUUAAUUUAUUAAAUAAAUCAAUAAAUAUUUAUGAGUGUUAUGUAUUCCUAUGUCAAGUUAUUUACAUUAUAAUAUCACUUCCACUCAGUUGAUUUCUUUGUUGACAGCACCCUCUUUAUGACUAAUGCUAAAACCUACUUGGAUUGAUUUAGACAAAAGGACACUGUUUCAGGAAAAAUUCUGGGGAAAUAAUUAAAAAUAUGACCUUGAUGACUUUCAAGGGCCACAAUCAUCUAGAGGAAAAUUAACUAUCUUUAACAGUGGGUUUACUGCAUUUGGGAAGUAGAAUCAUUCACUUUAGAAAAAUAACUAUAAUCAUGGCGGAUGAAAUAAAAAGAGAUUUUUGAAUUGUUUGUGUAAGCCCAAAUGUUGAAGUUAACUGUUUUUGUGAGGUUUUCCACUUGUUUGCUUUUGUUUUUGCAUAUAGAGAAGUAGAAAUGUUGCCUGGCUUUCUUCUGAGUCUGGGUAAAGCUCGAGGGAGGGGUAUAAUGGAGGGAACUAAUGCGAAUUGAGCUAGACUUGGUGCAGUCAUAUGCAAGAUCUCAGUUCAUAUCACAAACGCCCUUAGAAGGAGAUUCAGCUAUUCUUGUUUUCCAGAUAAGGAAAGUGAGGAUCGAAAGGCCUCAGACAUGAUCACAUCCAGUCGAAGCCUGAGACCUGUGGCCCCUGACUCUUUAGAAUCCCUUUCAUCAGACUAUAAAAUUUCUUGUCAGACAAUGAGGUUUUCUAGAUAUACAAUCAUGUCGUCUGCAAACAGGGACAAUUUGACUUCCUCUUUUCCUAACUGAAUACCCUUUAUUUCCUUCUCCUGCCUAAUUGCCCUGGCCAGAACUUCCAACACGAUGUUGA
rnacentral:lncRNA from 1 species